CUUGGUUUCGACGGGGGUACGUUGUAUUUAGGAAGCGAGUCGAGGGAACCUGUGGACCCGCGUUAAAAAACUAUAGGAAUAAAUAUAAACGCUAAAAACGAUAAUUUAGCUUUAGCAGCUUAGUCUGCUACGUUCUACCUUUGAGUACCGCGGCUUAGGAUAGGGCGUCGAUAGCGGUGAAACGAGCCUAGGAAAGCUUUGACUUAGGAACGGGAUUUAUGAAGCUACUAAAGUCAGAAGCCUGUCUUUCGGCGUCUGAUAGAGGGAAUGUCAAAAGGAAGACUGCACUCGGAGAUGCUUAAGUAUUACUAUUUUCGGACAGGGGUUCGAUUCGUA
rfam:Clostridium acidisoli DSM 12555 genome assembly, contig: EJ29DRAFT_scaffold00005.5